rnacentral:rRNA from 1 species
UACGAAGGGGGCUAGCGUUGUUCGGAUUUACUGGGCGUAAAGCGCACGUAGGCGGAUGUGUCAGUCAGGGGUGAAAUCCCGGAGCUCAACUUCGGAACUGCCUUUGAUACUGAAGAUCUUGAGUUCGGGAGAGGUGAGUGGAACUGCGAGUGUAGAGGUGAAAUUCGUAGAUAUUCGCAAGAACACCAGUGGCGAAGGCGGCUCACUGGCCCGAUACUGACGCUGAGGCACGAAAAGCGUGGGGGAGCAAACAGG